GAAGCUGGUUUGGAGAAUUAAGUUUCCUUUCACGUCUGGAGAUCCAUAAUCUGUUAGAGAAAGUCGACUUGGAUGAAAAUUCUCCUCUGGUCUUUUGAUCUUGGUAGCUACCACGCCUUGCACAAAACAAAUGAAUAAAUUAGUGAAUGAGUGAAUAGAUGAAGUAAUGAACUGCCUUUCUUAGGUUACCUGCGGAAAAGCGUCAGCCAAUCAAAGGAUGAAUGUGGAAACUAUGACAGAAACAGUGGCAGUGAGCAUGAAAAUAUUUAACUCAGAGACAAGAUAGAAGUGCUUAAUCAAGGAGGGACCCAGUGGAAGGUGACUGAAUCAUGGAGGCAAGUCUUUGCCGUGCUGUUCUCCUGAUAGUGAAUAAGACUCACAAGAUCUGAUGGUUUUAAAAAGAAGAGUUUCCUUGCACAAGCUCAUCCUCUCUUUGCCUGCUGCCAACCACAUAAGAUGUGAUUUGCUCCUUCCUGCCUUCUGCCAUGAUUG
rnacentral:lncRNA from 1 species